rnacentral:rRNA from 1 species
GUCUAUGGCCAUGCCACCCUGAACGAGCCUAAUCCCAUCUGAUCUUGGAAGCUAAACAGGGUUGGGCCUGGUUAGUACUUGGAUCGGAGACCACCUAGAAAGACCAGGUGCUAUAGGUG